AACUAACGCUGGCGGCGUGCCUAACACAUGCAAGUCGAACGAGAAAGUUGGCUUCGGCCGAUGAGUAAAGUGGCGCACGGGUGAGUAACGCGUGGAUAAUCUGCCCUUUAGUUUGGAAUAACGUACCGAAAGGUGCGCUAAUACCGGAUAAUACUGAAUGACUACUGUUGUUUAGUCAAAGAAGGCUUCUGUUUACAUGCUUUUGCUGAAGGAUGAGUCCGCGUACCAUUAGCUAGUUGGUAGGGUAAUGGCCUACCAAGGCGACGAUGGUUAGCUGGUCUGAGAGGAUGAUCAGCCACACUGGAACUGAGACACGGUCCAGACUCCUACGGGAGGCAGCAGUGAGGAAUAUUGCGCAAUGGGGGCAACCCUGACGCAGCAACGCCGCGUGAGUGAGGAAGGUUUUCGGACCGUAAAGCUCUGUCGAGCGGGAAGAAAUGCAUGGUGGCUAAUAUCCAUCAUGCUUGACGGUACCGCUAAAGGAAGCACCGG
rnacentral:rRNA from 1 species